UUACUUAGGGCCUGAUCCAAAGCCUGUUGAUGUUAAUAGGAGUUUUUUCCACUGAUUUCAAUGGGCUUUGAAUCAGGCCCUACUAUG
rnacentral:pre_miRNA from 1 species